AUCUCCUGACCUCGUGAUCUGCCCGCCUCGGCCUCCCAAAGUGCUGGGAUUAUAGGCAUGAGCCAACGUGCCCGGCCUGUUCUCACAGUAGUUCUCUGAGGAAAAUUGUAUAUCCUUAUUUUGCCAGUGAGAAAAUUUUGGAUUAGAAACAUUAGGUAAUUUAUCAAAGAAGGUUAUGUAGCUAAUAGUAAGUGGUAGAACCAGAAUUGCUAAUCCAGGUCUGUCAGACUCCAGAAACCAUGUUCUUUCUAUCACAUUAUGCCAGAGAAGCUGGAAAUAGAUAUUUUCUUUUAAAAAAGUAAAACUUACUAGUUACAAAAACACAACAAUAAAAAAUCUGCUGGCCCGACUUAAAUGUCUUUCAAGAUGGCUACAGAGCUUCCAUUUUGCUACUUGAAAAAAACUUUGUUGAAAAAUAGCUUCUAGAUGAGUGAUUUCUUCAGUUACAUGUAAUUUUGGGAGUGGUUAUAGACAGACUAGAUGUAGUUUCUUUAUAUAAAAUAACUUGAUUUGCUUCUUUAAAAAUAUAGGUUGAAAGAGCUGAUACUCAGUUGAAAAUUUUUUUUUCCAUUUAUCUCUGUCUUUUUUUUUUUUUUUUUUUUUUUUUGUUCGUUUGUUUUUUGAGACAGGGUCUGGCUCUGUCACCUGGGCUGGAUUGCAGUGGUGCCAUCUCAGCUCACUGCAACCUCUGCCUCCCGGGCUCAAGCUAUCCUCCCACCUCAGUGCCCCCAAGUUGCUUGGACCACAGGUGCACACCACCAGGUCCGGCUAAUUUUUUGUGAUUUUUAUAGAGACGGGAUUUUGCCAUGUUGCCCAGGCUGGUGUUGAACUCCUGAGCUCAAUUGAUUUGCCCACCUGUGCCUCCCAAAGUGCUGGGAUUACAUGUGUGAGCCACUGUGCCCAGCCCUGUUUUCCUUUGAGAGACAGGGUCUUGCCCUGUCACCCAGACUAGAGAACAGUGGCACAGUAAUAGGCCACCACAGCCGUGUUGGCUGCCCAUGUAGCUAAUAUUACAGGUGCAUGCCACCAUGCCUGACUAAUUAAAAAAAAUUUUUUUUUUGGUAGAGACAGGGUCUUGUUAGGUUUCCCAGGCUGGUCUCGAACUCCUACCUUCCAUUAAUCCUCCUGCCUUGGCCUCCCAAAGGGCGGUAAUUAUAGGUGUGAGUCAUUGUCCCCAGUCUUAUUUUUCUCGCUUAACAGUAAUUUUAAGUAGUCAUCUCUCUUCACUUCAUAUCUGCUCCCCACCCCACCCCCCCUUGUUUUUGAGACAGAAUGUCACGCUGUCACUCACGCUGGAGUACAGUGCUACGAUUUCGGGUCACUGCAGCCUUGACCUCCUGGGCUCAAGUGCUCCUCCUGCCUCAGCCUCCAAUGUAGCUGGCUAAUUUUUUUUUAUACAGGCAGGGCCUCAGUUUGUUGCCCAGGCUAAACAUCAUAUGCUUUUAAAGGAACCUGCUGAAACAGCAAAGUCUCUUACCAUGAACAGUUGAUGGUUCUAGGAGCUUGGGGAAAAGGGGUGGAGUUGGGGUUUCUGUAUGUGAUGUCUUUUUUGGUUCAGAAUAAAUUUUUUUUGUGUGUGGUAAGUUACUAUAGUAAGGGUAAUUUCCCAUAAUAGGCAAUAAUAUAUACAUCUGUUUUUGUUGGAAUUAUAUUUAAACUUAAAUUUUAAAAAGUAGUGCCUGUUAGUUUAAAAACAUAGUAAUAGAUUGUAUAGCAUAGAAAAUAUAAAUACUAUAAUCCUUCAUUGCAGCCCAUCCUCUGCUCCAUAGCCUUAGUGUAAUUUUGGUGGCAAUACUUUUUCCAGUGGAUCUAUGUAUUAUGAUGCUUUUAUUUGGAAGUGACAGCCCAUCCCCUCCUCCCCAAACAAACACAACUACAAAAGUGCUGCUGGGCAUGGUGGCUCAUGCCUGUAAUCCCAGCACUUUGGGAGACUGAGGCAGGCAGAUCAUUUGAGGCCAGGAGUUUGAGACCAGCAUGGUCAACCUGGUGAGACCCCAACUCUACUAAAAAUACAAAAAUAAGCUGGACCUGGUGGCGCAUACCUGUAAUCUCAGCUACUCGGGAGGCUGAGGCACGAGAAUUGCUUGAACCACGGAGGUGGGGGUUGCAGUGAGCCGAGAUCAUGCUACUCCACUCCAGCCUGGGCAAUAGAGCGAGACUCUGUCUCAAAAAUAAAUAAAUAAAUAAAUAAAUAAAGGAAAGGAAAAAAACCCUUCAAACUGGCUUAAACAACAACAAAAAGUUUAAAGAACUUUAACCUUCUAAAGAAUUGCCACUUCUAGGGUUAGUUUGUUGAGCAACCUCAAGAAUCUAAGUUAUCUUGGCCAGGUGUGGUGGCUCAUGCCUGUAAUUCCAGCACUUUGGGAGGUUGCGGCAGGUGGAUCACCUGAGGUCAGGAGUUCGAGACCAGCCUGGCCAACGUGGUGAAACCCUGUCUCUAUUAAAAAUACAAAAAUUAGCCAGGCAUGGUGGCAGGCGCCUAUAAUCCCGGCUGCUCGGGAGGCUGAGGCAGGAGGAUGGCUUGAAUGCAGGAGGCAGGGGUUGCCGUGAGCCGACAUCACACCAUUGCACUCCACCUUGGGCGACAAGAGUGAAACUCCAUCUCAAAAAAAAAAAAAAGAAUCAGGAAUCUAGUUAUUUUUAAAAUCUAAUGGUCAAUCUAUUAGACUGUCCUCCUCAGGCUCGCUUUCUUGUGUAGAUAGCCUUGGCAGUUUUAGACUCCAGUCAUGUUGGACAGAUCGUCUGGGAGAAGAGGGACCAUCUGUUCCUUAUGUCCCUUUUCCCUUUCAGCUUUUUAUUUUGAAAAGUUUCAUACCUACUGAUACUCUGGAAAAAUUGUGCAAUUGAACAUAUACCCUUCAUGUAGAUUUUCUCAUUAUUACCAUUUUAUUACAUUUGCUCACUCACAUUCUUUAUGUGAUUUUUUUUUUGCUAGACCAUUUGAAAAUUUGAAAAGUAAGCUACAGAUGUUUUGACACUUCAUCUCUAAAUACUUUAGCAUGUACCUCUUCAAAACAAGAACAUUGUCUUACAUAAGCACAGUAUCAUUACAUGCAAGAAGUUUAAUAUUAGUAAAUAACAUAUACUUUAUAAUCUUUAUUCAAGCUUCCUCAACUUUUUUGCAUUUUGGCAAGUGGUGGUUCUGGUAAGAUGUCUAGAGUUCAAUUCAGGAUCAUGCAUUGAAUUUAAUUGCCUUGUCUCUUUAUAUUCCUUAAUCUAGAACAGAUCCAGUCGUUACAUUGACAUUUUUCGAUGAGUCUUAAUAGAAUGUUUCACAAUUUGUUUUCUCACCAUUUUUUUUGGAGAGACAAGAGUCUCACUCUGUCGCCCAGGCUGGAGUGCAGUGGCGUGACCUCAGCUCGCUGCAACCUCUGCCUCCCGGGUUCAAAUGAGUCUCCUGCUUCAGCUGCCCAAGCAGCUGGGACUACAGGUGUGUGCCAUUAUGCCUAGCUAAUUUUUGUAAUUUUUAGUAGAUAAUGGGAUUUCACUAUGUGUUGGCCAGGUUGGUGUCGAACUCCUGACCACAGCUGAUCUGCCCGCCUUGGUGGUAAUGUCUUUCUCAAUUCAUCCAGUAGGAGCUGCUUAAUGUCCUUUUGUUCUAUUUUUGGAGAUAAUAAAUUUGAGCUUUUUGGUAGGAUAUAGCCUGCCAUAUUUCUUCAUUGAAAGUACUCUUCCCCUUUGUAAUUAAUAAAUAAUAAUGAGGUCCAAAUCCUGUGAUAAAGCCAAGGAUGUAUAAGCACAGAAGCUUUUGCUUUGGUGAUUGCAGACGUUUAUUUUUGCUUUAAUGAAUACAACUGUUUUUGAAAAUAGUUUUUGUAGAGUGUUUGUUUUUGUAUUUUGAGGUGGGGUCUCAUUCUGCCACCCAGGCUGGGAUGCAUUUCUGCUCAUUGCAACCUCCACUUCUGGGCUCAAGCAAUCCUCCCACCUCAGCCUCCUGAGUAGCUGGGACUACAGGGGUGUGCCACCACGCCUGGCUAAUUUUUUGGGAAAAAAAAAUUUUUUUUUUCAUUUUUUGUAGAGAUGGGGUGUACACCAUGUUGCCCAGGGUGGUCUCAAACUCCUGAGCUCAAGUGAACUGCCUGCUUUGGCCUCCCAAAAUGCUGGGGUUACAGUGCUGGGAGCCACUGUGCACAGCCUGAAAAUAGUUUUUAAAUAAGUAAAAAUGAACAAAUUAUUCAACAGAUGAACAAAUAUUUCAACAAAUUAUGUAAUCAUUUUAACACCCUCUUUCUCUUUCAAGAAUGUUUCAGUUUGGGCUGGGUGUGGUGGCUCAUGCCUGUAAUCCCAGCACUUUGGGAGGCUGAAGUGGGAGGAUCUCUUGAAGCCAGGAGUCGGAGACCAGUGUAGUCAACCUAGCAAGACUCCUGUCUCCACACAUGUGCGCACACACUCACUGUCUUAGCUGGGUAUGGUGGUGUGUACCUGUAAUCCCAGCCACUCAGGAGGCUGAGGCAGGAGGAUCUCUUCAGCCCAGGAGUUAGAGGCUGCAGUGAGCUCUGAUCGCGCCACUGCAGGCUCUGUAGCCUGGGUGACAGAGCAAGACGCUGGCUCUUUAAAAGAGUGUUUCAGUUUGGAUAAUAAGUCACAUGGUCAUUCCAGCCAUUAGGCAUUCUCAGUUUUUCAUUGUGCCCAUAGUGAGUAUUCAGUGUGUUUGUUGACUGACCAAACAGCAGUGCUUGUUAAAAACAUGACUCUAAGAAGAAAGAAAAAAAGAAAAAGAAAAAAAAAACAUGACCCAGGUAGAAUCAUUCUUUGUGCAUUUUCAUGUGCCUUUAUUAGCUGUAUCUCUAAUGCCAUGUUCCUUGUGUUUUUCUGGAUUGUUUUCUCCAGUAUGGCUAUAUAUAUUUAAUAUAAUUUUUUACAGCCCUCUAAGUUGUAUUUUAUGGUUGAUAAGUUGGAAAUGGUCAACACUUUCAUUUGGCACUUCCCUGUUUGCAAGCUUUUGUUUUCAACAACUACAGUUUGCCAAAGACUUCAAAACCUGAAGGUUUUUUUUUUGUGGCACUUCAGUUUAUUGAAUACUUUGAUUGAAUAUUUCCAACUGAUUAGAAAAUAUUUAAUGAUUUUAAAAAACAUUCAACCAAAAAUCAGAAGACUCAUUUAUAAAACUUGAUACCAUUGUAGGACACUUAAGUUGAUUUAUGAAGUAGUUCUUCAAAGGCUCAAACAUUUCCAAAAAUAUCAUUGACAUGUAACAGAAAUCACAUGCUGUCAUUUAUAUGUAUUUAAUAUGUAAAUUGUCAUCUUGAUCACAGAUUUUAUAGUUCAGUUACUAUGUAUAUUUGUACAUUUCCACAUCUACAGCGUAUCUUUCAGUUGGUAAAAUAUUAUAGUCUUUUUGCAUAUAGUUAUGAGUAAUGUAUACUCCAUAAUCAUUUCAAGUAUAUUUUUUGUUUUAUCCUUUUUUUGUUUUAGCUUAGUGGGAAUAUUGUUUUUACCAUGACAGUCUACUUAACCAAUAUUUGUAUUCUCAUCAUCACUAAAACAAAAAUUUUAUCUUCAGUGUUACAUGUUUUUAAACAAUUCACAACAUACACAGUAAUAUGAGAUGUUUUACUUUGAACAGAGUUAACUUUCAAAAGCUUUAUUUUGAUUCCAUGAAUUGGAUGAAAGAAAUCAAGCAGUUAAUGUGAUGAUGGUUUUUCUAUGGAAGAGGUCUCAUGAUAGUGAUAAACUUGCAUCAGUUGUCUCUGGGAAUUUCUGCUAGUGAAGCCAACAUGAACAAUUACCGAUUUUUUUUUCCAGUGGACAAGAAAACUUGGAAUUGAAAAAAAAAGAUUAAUUUAGAAGAACAGUCAUUGGAUCUAAUUACAAGUUAUGUUUCAUAGAAUGUUUUGUAAAGGCAUCUUUUACAGCUGCAUGUAUUGUCAUUUUCAGACACAAUUUUACAAUAACUGCUUAUUGCCUUUGAAUUAAAUGUUGAUUGUAUUAGUCUGUUCUCAUGCUGCUAUGAAGAAAUACCAGAGACUGGGUAAUUUAUAAAGAAAAGAGGUUUGAUUGACUCACAGUUCCUCAUGGCUGGGGAGGCCUCAGGAAACUUACAGUCAUGGUGGAAGGCAGGGCGGCAGGAGAGAGAAUGAGAGGAGCGAAGCCCCUUACAAAACCAUCAGAUCUUGUGAGAACUCGCUAUCAUGAGAACAGCAUGGAGGUAACCACCCCUGUGUUUCAAUUACCUCCCACCGGGUCCUUCCCAUGACACUUGGGGAUUAUGGGAACUACAGUUCAAGAUGACAUUUGGGUGGGGACACAGCAAAACCAUGCCAUCAAUUUUUUUUUUUUUUUUUUUUUUUGAUACGGAGUCUCACUCUGUCACCCAGGCUGAAGUGCGGUGGCACAAUCUCGGCUCACUGCAGCCUCCACCUCCCAGGUUCAAGUGAUUCUUCUGCCUCAGCCUCUUGAGUAGCUGGGACUACAGGCACAUGCCACCACGCCAGGCUAAUUUUUGUAUUUUAGUAGAGAUGGGGUUUAUCCACAUUGGCCAGGCUGGUCUCGAACUCCUGACCUCAAGUGAUCCACCUGCCUCAGCCUCCCAAAGUGCUGGGAUUAUAGGUGUGAGCCACCAUGCCGCUCUAUUUUUUGUAUUUUUUGUAGAGACGGGGUCUCCCUAUGUUGCCCAAGCAGGUCUCAAACUCCUGGGCUCAAGUGAUCCUCCUGCCGUGGCCUUCCAAAGUGCUAGGUUUACAAGUGUGGACCACCUCACCUAGCCAAAUGUUGAUGCUUCUUCAGAUUUGCUGCUUGAAGUCAUUGUUACCACUUUAAAUAUAUACUUGAGUGCAUUGCUAUCUAAAGGGCUUAUUUAAAAAUACAUAGAUUAGUUGUAGAUAUACACUGUGUAACAAUGAAAAGGUCAUUGUAGCAAAAGGGGUUUAUACUGUAUCUGCAUACUCUAUGAAAGGACCACUCAUACACAUUUCCUAUGUACAUAUUUUUUCCAUGUUUCCUACUGAUCUCACUGACAGUAUUUUGAUGGCUUCUUGUUGGCUGAGGAACUGGCCAUGGCACAGAUGAUGGAUGGGGGCAACAGCCUUGAAUAUUCUCCUUCCAGCAACUGUCAACACCUGAAGGAGGGAGUUAGCUGCCUGUUACCAUACUUGAUAUUGACUUGGUGUCCUAAAAAGGAAAAUGUCAAUUGUUUCAAAUUUGUAAAGGGUUAAGAAAAGAGGCAGACUACCACUAGUCAUCUUGUUAGAUUUAAUCAUGUGUUAAAAUGUGAUAGCUGUUUACAAUGCACAUCUCACAUGACUACUGUGUAAGACCUUGUCAGAAGUUAGAAACACCAAUUCAAUGUCUGUGAAACCAUCAAUACUUAUUUUGAUGCAACUUUGUUAAAAAUGUAAAGUCUAAGACAGUAGAUUUGUACACGAUGUUUGGAAACACCAAUCAUAAAUGAAGACUUGAGGUCAAACAGACUUAUGGUCACCAUACUUGCAGCAGAAUUUGCUGGGGGGUUGAUAUAUGUUCAUCAAGUAAACAGAAACAUCAAACCAGAGUAGUUCUCUAGUUAGUAAAAUGAGAAUAAACAGGUUAUUAAUUAAUCUAUUUCAGAGGAUGGUCAGGUGGCCUAGAGAAUGCUGUCCUGGGGAAAUGACAUUUAUACUGCUACAUGAGAUAUGAUUAGAAGUUAGGUAGAAGAACAUCAUUCCAGGCAGAGGAAGUGGGCACAAAAAGGUCCUUAGUAAAGGAGCUUUUUGAGUUCAAAGAACUGAAAGAUGAUGUGUGUUGCAAAUGUGACUUGUGAGGCUAGCAGAAGCAAUAGAUGUUGAAGACGUGGGUUUGAGCCAGAUUGUGCAGAGCCUGGUAGUCCAUGCUAAGGAUUCGAAUUCCAUGGAAGGUUUGAGCAGGGAUGUGACAUGGUUAGAUUCAAUUUUUAAAAGAUGGUUGGCCCAGAAAAUGUGGAAAAUGGAUUGGAGUUGGAAUUUUCUAAUUAAAGACUUAUCAAAGAUGUGUUUAAACUCUUACUGUAUACUAUUUAAUCUUUAAGGAUUAUGAGCGAUUAUAUGUGAAAAUACCUGUCAGUGACUGUGACAGUGAGCCUUUAAUUUUUUUUUUGAGGUGAUCUUUUUAGUGCCAAAUACAUCAGACAAUCCUGAGCCAAGAGACAGAGUUCUGAUCAUAGUUAAUUUGGUUUGUGAGCUUGAGCAAGUCAUUUAAACUCUGAGCCUCUUUCUUUAUCUGUAAAUUGGGCGUGUUUGAGAAAUGUGUGCUUAACUUUAAUUGUGUUAAUCGCUUAACUCUGGUUAACAUAUGGGCUGAGUCUUGCUGAGUCAUUUCCUCAGACGUUGUGGGCAAGGCUUAAAACCAGCUAAGCAAAUUUAGUGAUGACACAUUUUACCUCUUCUGUAGAAGUCAGAUGAAAGAGCUGUUUCAAAAAUGUUUCACUUAUUGUUUUCAUGCAGAUUAUCUCUUCGUGGGGGAGAGAAUACAGUACACAUAGCUCAGGAACUACUGAUGCACUGCCUUCCAUUUUAGUGGCAGUUUGAAUUUAAGAAUUUCUAGUUUGUCUUAAGCUUUUCUGUAAUCUCUCACAUAUAUAUUCUUAAUUUCAACUGAUAAUUUCUUUCUUAAUGUCUAAUAUAGCCUAUUUGCCCUCUGAACAGCAUUGAGAUGCUUUGAAAUUUUAAUGCCCAAAAAGUUGGCUUUGGUAAGGUGGUUUUCAUUUCUGCAGUAGAACCAUGGUUGAGGCUAAUGGUCCCAUCAGCAUUAGCAGGCCUUUGGCUAGUUGCACAGUAAACUGCAUGUUUCCCACUAGUAAAAGAGAUAACCCCAACAGUUUUAGGAUUAAUGCUGAGUUGUAGUGUUCUUUGGGAUUUACAGAUUUUUUUCUAUAAUUUAAACUUUUUGAGACAUAUCCUGAGGAUAAUAGAAGGGCAUUUAAAAAAACUUCAACUGGCUGGGCUUGGUGGCUCACACCUGUAAUCCCAGCACUGUGGGAGGAUCACAAGGUCAGGAGUUUGAGACCAGCCUGGCCAAUGUGGUGAAACCCUGUCUCUACUAAAAAUACAAAAAUUAGCUGGGCAUGGUGGUGGGCGCCUGUAAUCCCAGCAACUUGGGAGGCUGAGGCAGGAGAAUCACUUGAACCCAGGAAGUGGAGGUUGCAGUGAGCCCAGAUCGCACCACUGCACUCCAGUCUGGGCGGCAGAGCGAGACUCUGCCCCCCUACCCCCCAAAAAAAAAGAAAAAAGGAAAAACAACUACUCAGAUACUUUUUUUUUUGAGAUGGGGUCUCACUCUGUUGCCCCGGCUGGAGAGCAGUGGCAUGAUCUCAUCUCACUGCAGCCUUCACCUCUCAGGUUUAAGUGAUUCUUCUGCCUCAGCCUCCCAAGUAGCUGGGACUACAGGCACGUGCCACCAUGCCCCACUAAUUUUUGUGUUUUUAAUAGAGAUGAGGUUUCGCCAUGGUUGGCCAGGCUGCUCUCGAGCUCCUGACCUCAAGUGAUCUGCCCUCCCCGGCUUCCCAAAGUGCUGGGAUUACAGGCGUGAGCCAUCGCACCUGGCCUCCGAUACUUUUGACAAUAAUCUUGGUUUGGGGGAGGUGUGUGUGUGUCAGUCUUAGAUUUAUAUUCACUCUGCAUUGUGUUAUAUUGAGCUAUAAUGGAUGUGCAGCUACACGAAUUCUUCUAGAGAUCCUUGGACUUGAAAUUAUGCGUCCUUGGCUUUAUCACAGGAUGUGGCCUUCUUGGCCUCAGUUUUUCAGAGUAGAGAAUUUGCUUUUGGCUUUUCUAGGACGUGUGCAGAUGAGAACUUGCUACAGGCAGAUAUGCUUGAGAGCUCAAAAGGAAAUGGUGGGAAAAGACUAGAUUAAAUCAAGUAGUUGUGUGAUUUCAGUGAAGUAGUAUUAAAUCUGGUUUUAUCUGUUUUUCACCUGUUUUAAAACAUAGGUACAUUUUCACAGUCACUUAAAGUGACUAUCUUUUUGAACCUCAAGGAUUUUUUUAUUCUCGGAAUUGAGUUUUGUUCGUUUCAUCAUACUUAAAAUAGUUUAAGAAAAAUUUUAGAGUACUGUUUUCCUUCUUGUGAACCUUGUACAAUAUUAUGAAGAGGGCAAGCUAUGUAGGUAACUAUUAUCAUUUUACAGGUAAGGAAGCAGAGUUUAAUGACCUGCCCUUGAUAAUAUGACAAAUAUAUCAGAGCCAAAUCUUAAACAUAGCGAUGGAAAGCUUUGUAAUUAUAGAAACAUUUGGAUUUGUCUUUUGGUUCCACCUAAAUUUUCUUACAGUUUAAAAAAUGUCUUUUAAGAUUAUUGCAAGGAGCAAAUGAAUACAUAAUAGAAGCAUCCCAUUGUAUGGCAUGUAAAUUCUCACCAAAUGUAAUUGUUUCUCAGUGGUUUUCAACAUGUGGAUCCCCACUGACCACCACCUAGGGAGUUUUUUUGACCAGAAGGUCAAAACUUUUCAUAAUAAUUCUAAGACAUUUGCCUUUUUCACUAUGUUGAUGCUUGUACUGAUGGUACAGAAGCAAUGGUAUGUAAAAUUGCUGACCUUAGCAUGAAUCAAGACAAUGGAACCAAGCUGGACUAGUAGUCAUUGUAUUUACCACCAUGUACUCACAAGAGAAAACUAAAAUAAUUUUCCUCAAGAAUAUCCUUGAUGAAGUAGAAUUAAUUUUUGUUAAAUCUUGACCUUUGAGCAUAUAUCUUUUUGGUGUAUGAUGAAAUGGGAGGUAAAUAUAAAGCACUUCUGCCUCGUUUUGAGACAGUGAUGGUUGUCUCAAGCAAAGGCACUUGUGAAAUUGUUUGGAUUGGCCACCAUUUUUAUAGAACAUCAUUUAUCCUUGAAAGAACAACUGGCAAACUAUGGUUAUUCAGACUUGAGUCCUUGGCAGAUACUGUCUUGAAUGAAUGAAGUGACAGUAUUUGUUGCCACUGAUAAAAUUUAUGCUUUUAAGAUUGGAAUUUUGGCCAGGCGCGGUGGCCCACUCCUGUAAUCCCAACACUUUGGGAGGCCAAGGCGGGUGGAUCGCCUGAGGUCAGGAGUUCAAGACCAGCAUGGCCAACAUGGUGAAACCCCAUCUCUACUAAAAAUACAAAAAUUAGCCAGACAUGAUGGUGGGCACCUGUAAUCCCAGCUACUUGGGAGACUGAGGCAGGAGAAUUGCUUGAACCUGGGAGGCAGAGGUUGCGGUGAGCCAAGAUGGCACCACUGCAACUCCAGCCUGGGUGACAGAGUGAGACUUCAUCUCAAAAAAAAAAAAAAGGAAGUUUGGAAUUUUGAGCCAGUCAAGGUCACUCUUGCCUGUAAUUCCAGCUACCCAAGAGGCUGAAGCGGGAGGAUUGUUUGAGCCUGGGAGUUUGAGCCUGAAGUGAGCUGUGAUUACACUACUGCACUACAGCCUGGGUGACAGAGCAAGACUCAGUCUCUUAAAAAAAUAAAUAAAUAAAAUAUAUUUGGAAAACUUGUGUCUGCUGCUGUGAGUGUGACAGCUUUUCUGUACAUACUCUCUUGAUGAGGUCCAUGGUGAUAAUAUUAUUUUUUUCAUAUUGUAUAAUGAAAUACGCCAACAUUUGGAAGAACUGUGUUAAUGAACUAUUAAUUUCCAAAUGACCAAUACAUGCUGUUAUAAAAUUGCGCAGAUAAAAAGACCUAUUCAGAGUGCAAAGUAACUGAUGGAUUUUAAUAUAAUAGAACAUGGCUGGGUGCGGUGGCUCACGCCUGUAAUCCCAGCACUUUGGGAGGCCGAGGCGGCUGGAUCAUGAGAUCAAGAGAUUGAGACCAUCCUGGCCAACAUGGUGAAACUGGUCUCUACUAAAAAUACAAAAAUUAGCUGGGCAUGGUGGCACCCACCUGUAUUCUCAGCUACUCGGGAGGCUGAGGCAGGAAAAUCACUUGAACACGGGAGGUGGGGGUUGCAGUGAGCUGAGAUCAAAUUACUGCAUUCCAGCCUGGCGACAGAGUGAGACUCCAUCUAAAAAAUACAUAUAUAAUAAUAAUAAUAAAAAUAAUAAUAGAACAUGAAAACACCAUUGACAGGGUUUCAGAUUCUACCUUGCAACUAAUGUUUAAGAAAUUACUGCUUGUUCCUUGUGACUCAUGCAAAAAAAGAAGAAAAAAAGAAAUUACUUGCUGAGCUUUGUAGUGUUGAAGAAUAAUGUUUAGGAUUAUCUGAAUAGGUUCUUAAAAUACUCCUCCCUUUUCUAGCAACAUAUCUGUUUGUAGCUAGAUUUUCUUCAUAUACUUCAUAUUCUUUGUAUGCUUCAUCAGCCAAAACAGCAUAUUACAAUAAAUUGGAUGCAGAAGCAGGUAUAAUCCAAGUGUUAUCUAUUAAGCUAAACAUUAAAGUUGCAGUUUUGUUUUGGAAAAUAUAGUAAUUUUUAACAAAAUGUCAUUUAUGUUAACAUGGAUUGGAUUUAUUUUAAAUUGCAUUAAAUACUUAAAUUGUUUUCUUAGUUUUAAUUUGUAAUAUGGUAAAUAUGAAUUUAUAGAACCUACACAAAAGUUUGUUGAGAUCCUCAGGAACUUGAGGAGUGUAAAGGAGUUUGCAGAACAAAAAAUUUGAGAAGCAUUGGUGUACUUCUUUCAUUGCUUCUAUGUAAUAGAUUUGAUCCAAGUUUCAGUGAUGAGAUUUAUCUCAAGCUUAUCUCUUAAGCUUGAGAGAGUAAGAGAUUUGGUGUGUAUUGGUAGUUAGUGUCCCAUCAGAAAAACAGGAACCACUUCAGGUUUGAUUUGGGAAUAGUGUUGUUGAUUUUAAAAGUAGAGAAGGAUUUAAUGCAGGAAUUGUUUCAAAAGUGAUGGAAGGGCUAGAGGAACAAAUGGGAGAAGGGGCUAUUAACCAGAGAUCAGCAAACUGCUGUUUUGUCUGGACUGGAUCUCCCUAAACCUGUACUUGUUGCUGAGCUGCUAGAGGUAUCCCUUUGCUGAUUAAGCAAGAACUGUUCUCGUUGUUACUACUGGUAAAACUAUUGGGCUAUUGCCAUUGUACUGGGCUUCCCACCAUUGUGUUGCCUAUGAGCUCAAGCCACAGCCACUGACUAUGUUGUAGCUGUCACCAGGAUCAGAUGGAUUUUCCUUUUGUCCUACUUUUUAGUUUUCUGCCAGUUCCUUUCAUUGGCAGAACCUACCCAGAACUCAGCUUGCAAGGGAGUCUGGGAAAUGUAGUUUGUAGGCUUUCAGAGCUUGGCAGCAUAGAUAAGAAAACAGAAGAGUAAAUACAGUGCUAAGAGCAUCAGAUAGUUACAGUCAGCUAUGAACACUGCAUAAAUAAGAAAGGACUCCACAGUUACCUUCCAAUUCCUAGUCUGGUUGCCAUAUUACACUGUAGUAAAGGGAGGAAAAAGUACAGAAGGGAAUGAUUCGAGCUCAAGUGUUAUGAAGAAAACUAAAAAUGGAUGUAGAUAAGAUUUGACUGAAUAGAAUCGGAGGGUUUCUAGGCAGUUAGUUGAUCAAUAUAAAUAAAGGGAGAUUACAAUGGGUACAUUGAUUACAGUUUAGAGGAUGUUAUAUAUUUUAGAGCAAUGAGAAAUCAGGUUGAAUAUGUAGACCAGGGGCAGUUUAUGUGGAGUGCUGUGAAAAACUGGCAACGGAAUUUGGACUUUGUCUAGUAGAAACGUCAGCAAGAUUGACAUGAUGAAAGGCAUCUUAUAUUAAGAUCAGAAUGAUGAGAAAAUGCAGGAUGAUACAGAAGAGGAGACAGUAUCAGGAAGAUUGCCUUGGAGGUCAUUGGUAAUCUGAGCCUGAGAUGAUGGUAUGGUAGUGGAGAAAAGACCCUUACAAAGAGUAUUUUGAAUGAAACAGAUUUGAGAACUUUCUAGAUUAUAAAUGGUGGAAUGAAGGCAAAUUAGAGAUGACUUAAAAUAUUUUAAACAGCUUAUCUCUAAUCAAAUUGUAUAGUUGGGAUUGGAAGCAAGUGAUUGUGGAAUUGAGGGCCUAGAAACGGUGAGAAGUGUACUUUUAAAGUAUUUUAUUUUUUUAAUUUUAAUAUUUUAUUUUUUUGAGAUGGAGAUUCACUCUUGUCGCUCAGGCUGGAGUGCAGUGGCAUGAUCUUGGCUCACUGCAACCUCUGCCUUCUGCGUUCAAGCAGUUCUCCUGCCUCAGCCUCCCGAGUAGCUGGGAUUACAGGCAUCUGCCACCACGCCCAGCUAAUUUUUGUAUUUUUGGUAGAGAUGGGGUUUUACCAUGUUAGCCAGGCUAGUCUCAAACUCCUGACCUCAGGUGAUCCACCCGCCUUGGUCUCCCAAAGUGCUGGGAUUACAGGCGUGAGCCACUGCACCUGGCCUUUAAAUGUUGAAAAAAGUGAGAAGGAGCAUUCAUAGUUAAGAGCAUGGGAUCUGGAGUCGAACUCAUGUCACUUAUUAACCUCGUGUGCCUGAAUAAGUUACUUAACUUCCUUCUGCCUUCGUUUUUCUCAUCUAUAACACUCCUUAAGAGCUGUUAUGAGGAUCGAACGAGUAAAUGCUUGUAAAAUGCUUGGAACGGGUCUGGCAUAUAGUAAGCACUAUAAAUGUUAAUAAAAACAGUAAUAAAAGCCAAGGACUUUUGGGAGGGACAGAAACUUGGGAAAGGUCGAAGUUCUUCUCUCACAUUUCUUGGGAGUAGAAAAUAAGAUUAAUUGGUAGCUCUUGGAGAGACUGGACUGGUUCUAAAUUUUGGAGCAGCUAGAUGGAGUAUUAUCAGAGUACAGGCUUCCUGGAGAGCAAAAUACAAAAGAUGCCAAGGAGCAAAACUGAAUCUCGAAAGAUAAAUGAAGUUUACCAGGAAAAGAAAACUGGGAUGAGGAGAGGAUUUACGAAGUAGCAUAUGCUAAACGAGAGACAUGAGAAAACAUGAUGAUCAGGGAUGUCAUGUAGACUGAAGACUUUGAUACUAAGAGGCAUUUUCACAAUUUUAUCCUGAAAGCAUAGAGAAAACAAAUCAACUUGUCAUUUUCAAAAACUUACCCUGGCUGUAAUCUCAAUAAAAGGACAUCUUUUAAAGUCAA